rnacentral:rRNA from 1 species
UACGUAGGGGCAAGCGUUAUCCGGAUUUAUUGGGUUUAAAGGGUGCGUAGGCGGAUAUGUAAGUCAGCGGUGAAACUCACAGACUCAACCUGUGCCGUGCCGUUGAAACUGUGUGUCUGGAAUGCGGAUGCUGUGGGAGGAAUGUGUAGUGUAGCGGUGAAAUGCAUAGAUAUUACACAGAACACCGAUUGCGAAGGCAUCUCACAAAGCCGUUAUUGACGCUGAGGCACGAAAGUGUGGGGAUCAAACAGGAUUA